rnacentral:misc_RNA from 1 species
GAUGAAGAACGUAGCGAAAUGCGAUAAGUAAUGUGAAUUGCAGAAUUCAGUGAAUCAUCGAAUCUUUGAACGCACAUUGCGCCCGCCAGUAUUCUGGCGGGCAUGCCUGUUCGAGCGUCAUUUCAACCAUCAAGCCCCAGGCUUGUGUUGGAGCCCUGCGGCUGCCGCAGCCUCCCAAAACCAGUGGCGGGCUCGCUAUCACACCGAGUGCAGUAGUUUACUCUUCGCUCAGGGCGUGUGGCGGGUGCUAGCCGUAAAACCCCCAACUUCUCAAGGUUGACCUCGGUUCAGGUAGGAAUACCCGCUGAACUUAAGCAUAUCAAUAAGCGGAGGA